GACGAACGCUGGCGGCGUGCUUAACACAUGCAAGUCGAGCGGUAAGGCCCUUUCGGGGGGUACGACGAGCGGCGAACGGGUGAGUAACACGUGGGUGACCUGCCCUCAGCUCUGGGAGUAAGCCCGGGAAACUGGGUCUAAUACCGGAUAUGACUCCAUGACGCAUGUUGUGGGGUGGAAAGCCUUGUGCGGCUGAGGAUGGGCCCGCGGCCUAUCAGCUUG
rnacentral:rRNA from 1 species